rnacentral:rRNA from 1 species
CCUACGGGUGGCAGCAGUCGAGAAUCAUUCACAAUGGGGGAAACCCUGAUGGUGCGACGCCGCGUGGGGGAAUGAAGGUCUUCGGAUUGUAAACCCCUGUCAUGUGGGAGCAAAUUAAAAAGAUAGUACCACAAGAGGAAGAGACGGCUAAAUCUGUGCCAGCAGCCGCGGUAAUACAGAGGUCUCAAGCGUUGUUCGGAAUCACUGGGCGUAAAGCGUGCGUAGGCUGUUUCGUAAGUCGUGUGUGAAAGGCGCGGGCUCAACCCGCGGACGGCACAUGAUACUGCGAGACUAGAGUAAGGGAGGGGGAACCGGAAUGCUCGGUGUAGCAGUGAAAUGCGUAGAUAUCGAGAGGAACACUCGUGGCGAAGGCGGGUUCCUGGACAUUAACUGACGCUGAGGCACGAAGGCCAGGGGAGCGAAAGGGAUUAGAUACCCUAGUAGUC